rnacentral:rRNA from 1 species
GUGCCAGCAGCCGCGGUAAUACGGAGGAUGCAAGCGUUAUCCGGAUUCAUUGGGUUUAAAGGGUGCGUAGGCGGCCUUUUAAGUCAGUGGUGAAAUCCUGCCGCUUAACGGUAGAAUUGCCAUUGAUACUGAAAGGCUUGAGUCCAGUUGAGGUAAGCGGAAUGUGUAGUGUAGCGGUGAAAUGCUUAGAUAUUACACAGAACACCAAUUGCGAAGGCAGCUUACUAAACUGGCACUGACGCUGAUGCACGAAAGCGUGGGGAGCGAACAGGAUUAGAAACCCGUGUAGUCC